AUAAAAGUGAGGACAAACAGAUAGGGACGCUCCAUUAUAUAACAAGUCUCAAGUGAUGUUAUUUCUGUGAAAGAAAACGCAUCGGUCCUUUUAGUAUGUCCAUUCUUGGAAGAAGAACAAUCAAUAGUAUGGCGAGGUCCACCUAAUUUGAUGGUAUAUGGAAUUAACAAGACAAUAAAUGGAAAACUAACCAAUAUCAAACACAAAGCAUUCAUAACCAAAAAUGAGAAAAGCCAAAACAUAUUGAAGAUUGAAAUGUUCUCAAAGAACAACCAGGGCCUUUACCGGUGCAACACUGUUAAAGACAAGAAACUAAUGGAAUAUGCAAUAACAGUAAUUAUAGCAGAAAGCCCAGCAGAUCUCACACUGGUCAGUGAUAACAGUUCAGACAUAUUAACUGGAGAAGAAGGGAUACCGUUAAAAGUAAGGUGCUACGUUGAAGACGGCUUACCAGGACCGACGUUAUAUUUAUCAUAUCAAGAACAAGUGGUAAAUGUCACGAAUACGUCGAUGCUUGAACACUUGUUUGUACCCUAAAAAGACGACCAUUUAAACUGUUUUACAUGUGCAGCUGACAACGAAUUCUUCAAUGUUCAGACUUCCAUAUUGUUAUUUGUUGAAGGCCAACCAGAAUGUUUGCAUGACAACAGUCAAAUUACAUCGUCCAUAAACGAGGAUAUAAGUAUUUCGUUUAAUGUCUACAACCCUAGUGGACAUCUGUAUUUGAAAUGCCUCGAUAAUAUGUACAACACUUUCAUCAACUGCUCUAUGUACAAUUUGCUUGUUCAAGAUAAUUACUUUAGCAUAUAAUCUUGUAACAGAUCUUUUAUGAUAGCAGGAUAUGUUAUCAGAGUAACAGUCAGUGCAAAACUUUUUCAAAAUAUUAAGGCUUUAGUUAUGAAUUUGGAAAACAAGUAUGGAAACAAGAAUUGUACUUUCAACUUCCAGAUAAAUGACAGCAGCACUAGUCCAAUCACUCUAUCAUCAAUAUUGGUAUACACCGUCAUAUGCGGAGUUUGUGCACUUCUUUUCUACUUGGCAAAAUGCAGUCUUAAACAUGUCAGAAAUAAAAUUGUCACUUGAUAGGACAUAGCGUUUAAUCAAAAUAUAUAAAAUGGGUAAUUGUACACAUGAUUCAUGACUAGCGAUUCCUUCCUGUACCAUCAUAUAUAUAUUAUAUAAAGUUUCCGUUCAUUUCUCUAAAACUGACAUCA